rnacentral:rRNA from 1 species
CUACGGGGUGCACCAGUGAGGAAUUUUGCGCAAUGGGGGAAACCCUGACGCAGCAACGCCGCGUGAGUGAUGAAGGCUUUCGGGUCGUAAAGCUCUGUCAAGUGGGAAGAACAUACAUAAGGCCAAUACCUUUAUGUACUGACGGUACCACUGAAGGAAGCACCGGCUAACUCCGUGCCAGCAGCCGCGGUAAUACGGGGGGUGCAAGCGUUAUUCGGAAUCAUUGGGCGUAAAGAGCACGUAGGCGGUUAUCUAAGUCAGAUGUGAAAGCCCGGGGCUUAACCCCGGAAGUGCAUUUGAUACUGGGAAACUUGAGUAUGGGAGAGGGAAGUGGAAUUCCUGGUGUAGAGGUGAAAUUCGUAGAUAUCAGGAGGAACACCGGUGGCGAAGGCGACUUCCUGGACCAAUACUGACGCUGAGGUGCGAAGGCGUGGGGAGCAAACAGGAUUAGAUACCCUAGUAGUC